GGGCGAGCUCGCGGCUUCGGCGCCGAGUGCCGGAGGGGCGGAGCCGCCGCGGGGCCAAUGGCAGGGCGCGGGGGCCUGGGCCUGGGUGGCGCAGCCAAUCACCGCCGGAGGCCGCACUCACCGCUCCCGCGCCGGCCCUUAACCCUUGGCGCGCGGGGACCCUGCAGGGCAGGCGCAGGGGGGAGUUGUUGCUUUGGGGCGCAGGGUCCGGACCUUGCCGAGACCGGCGUUGGGAGCUAGCAGAAGCGGGAAGAGGUUCGAUUGUGUCCGGUGCGGGGCGCCGGGAGCCUCGGCGACCUUUGUCUCCUGCCUGGCUCCUGCACUGGAGUGUGACCCGGGGCGCUGCAGCUGCGUGUGUGUGUAUGUGUGUGCGCGCGCGUGUGUGUAAGAGGGAGGAGAAGAGGAGACAGAAACGGGGGGAGGGGUGGAUUCCGCGUGCCCGUGUGUUUAUGUGUGAAGGAAAGUCCUGACUAUAUUUGGGAUUUGUUGCUCUGUGUGUGUGUGUGUGUAUGUGUUUGCUAUAUUUGGGGUUCGUUGCUGUGUGUGUGUCCGCUGUAUUUGAGGUUUGUUGCUGUGUGUGUGUGUCCGGUAUAUUUGGGGUUUGUUGCCGUGUGUGUGUGUGUGUGUGUGUGUGUGUGUGUGUGUGUGUGUGUAAGAGAGGAAGAGGGAGGAGGAGACAGAAAGUGGGGGAGGGGUGGAUUCCGCGUGCCCGUGUGUUUAUAUGUGAAGGAAAGCCCUGACUAUAUUUGGGAUUUGUUGCUGUGUGUGUUUCUGGUUUAUUUGGGGUUCGUUGCCGUGUGUGUGUGUCCGCUAUAUUUGAGGUUUGUUGCUGUGUGUCUGUGUGUGGCUAUAUUUGGGGUUCGUUGCUGUGAGUGUCUACUAUAUUUGGGGUUUGUUGUUCUGUGUGUGUCCGCUAUAUUUGGGGUUCAUUGCUGUGUGUGUGUGUCUGCUAUAUUUGAGGUUUGUUGCUGUGUGUGUGUCUCCGCUAUAUUUGGGGUUCAUUGCUGUGUGUUUGUGUGUCUGCUGUAUUUGGGGUUCGUUGCUGUGUGUGUGUCCGCUGUAUUUGGGGUUUGUUGCUCUGUGUGUGUGUGUGUGUGUGUGUCUCCCCGUGAUAGAGGGGUGAGGGAGGGAAUGGUAGGAAAGCAGAGAGAAGGAGCCAUGGCUCUCCAGGCGUGUGAAUUUGCAGGUCCAGGAGAGACACUGUCUCCACGUGUAGGUUUUGUGAGGGCAAGGGAAAGAGGAAGGAACAGAAGACAGCCUGCCUGUGUGUGUGUGUGAUGUCUGAUCUCCAAGUUUGGGUCCUGUUGUGCAUGCGUGUUAAUGUGGUAGAAAGAAACGUGGUGUCCCUGUUGUAAACAAGUUGAGAAAAAAUCCUGGGGUUUUGUGGUAUAGUUUGUGUGUGUUGUAUAUGCCCACACAAAAGAGGGACAUGGCUGUGAUUUGACUUUGUGUGUAACCCAGUUUGCAAGAGACAUCGAGAUAAAAACAUUGUGUGUGUGGUGACACUGUGGUCUUUCUGUGUGACUGUUGUGGGACUUUUGUGAUCACCUAUAUUUGGGUUGGGCUGAGAAAGAGAAACUACUGUGUAGGGGGCAUAAUGUCUGUUCAGGACAAAGACAUCCUGGCAGCACUGGGAUUUGGGCUUUGAAGGAUGUCUAAGAGUUCGUUAGGCCAGACAGAAUGUUCAUGAGGCCAGAGGGAAAGACCCGGGGAAUCCUGCCUAUCAGCCAACGGGGGUGAGGAGGCUGUAGUGGUGGGUGACCAGGGUGAAUUUGGAAACAGAACCUAUGGGCAGCAAGGAAGAGGAGGAGCAACUGACUGCAACCCCUGCCCAGGUGCUGACGCUGACCCAGAGUGGCCCUGGAUGUGUCUAGGCACACAGAGUCAUUCUAAAGCGGACCAUCUGCUCCUGGGCAGUUUGUUUGGGAACCUGGAGGGUGGGGAGGGGCUCUGUGGAAAUAACUCUAUGUUGCUCCCUCCUUCCAGCAGCAUUCCAAAUUCUUCAGUGUGGAGGACUCAGGGAGGUCGAAAAGCUCCUUGAGUACAGCAGUUGGGAGCAUGGUGAAGAGGGGAGGGUCUGGCCGUGUCCGAAAGGUGACCGGACCUGAAGGUCCAGAGCCCCCCUCCAUCAUGGGGUACUUAAACUAUCAGCUGCCCUGGCCUGGUGUCCGAUUGCUGACUAUUCCUCAAGUGUCUUACUGAGAAUCAUAGCCUGAUGCCUGCAGAGACAUUGAAGAUCCAGGGACACACAAAAAUGAAACCCGGUUAUCCUGGCACUCCACUUGCCAGCAAUGUGAUUAUGGGGGAUUCUCUUCUCUCUGAGCUCCCGUUUUUGCUCUGUAAAAUGGGGUUCAUAAUUCUCGCCCACCUCACUGUACUGCUGUAAAGAUUUAAGGAGUUAAUGUACCUCGUGGGCCUUUUGUAGCUUAACAAACCGCUAGAAAGCCUUUAAGCAUUGCUCCAUUUACAAAAAGUUCAAAAAAUAAGCAAAAUUAAACCUGUGCUGUCAGAAGUUAGGUUUGUGUUAUCUUUGGGGAGGGAGUGACUGGAAAGGGGCACCAGGGAAGCUUCUGGGUGCUAGGUACAGAGGAGGGGGUAGUUCAAUUGUGAAAAAUUGAGCAGUCUCCUUAGGAUCUAUGUGCUUUUCUGUCUCUGUUACUCUCCAACAAGAAGUUUCCAAAAGACAAAAGGGCCAGGUGCAGUGGCUCAUACCUGUAAUCCCAGCACUUUGAGAGGCCGAGGCAGGCGGAUCACCUGAGGUCAGGAGUUCAAGACCAGUGUGGCCAACAUGGCUGCUCCAGAAAACGCAGUCCCUGGUCUUACGCUGCUCAAAGGGAAGCAAGUGAGGUUUGCUGCCAACACUGACCCUUACCUCCAACUCCUCCAGGAUCCUCAGAGAUCACCUCAUCCAAACAGCUUUCUGGGAACGGCCAGCCAUGACAAAUGCUAAGCAUUUAUGAUGUGCCAGACACUGUGGCAGGUGCUUUGCAGCAUUAUAUGAGUGAUUCUGACAAUUCUAUAUGAACUGAGCUGAAAUAUUGUCUAGGGCACCCGGGGAAAUCACCAGACUCUCCAAGGAACAGUAACCAGCCUGUCUAAGAAGAUACAGUCACGAAAAUGGCAGAAGAAGCUCUGAAGAGGCUGGCAGGGGAGGGGACUCCGUGCUCACAGGCAGGGUGCAGGCAGGCAGAGCUUGUCAGGCCUAAUGAGGCUCUUCCUGACUCACCCAGCCCUGCAAUGAGGUAGCCAGGACUCCUCCCCCUGCCCUGGGCCCCUGGUGAAAGACUGGAGAUCAGGCUAUUCCCCCUGACCCCCCUCUGUGUCUCCUUGGGCCACCAAUUACUCUGAUUCAACUGGGCAGUUGAGUUUCUCUGAAGGACAGAGACCCAUGAAGGCCAGCACUCACUGCUAUUUGUCGAGUCUGUUCCGGGUGCCAUACUGCAAACUUCACUUGAUUUAAAUACAAGAGCAAUGGAAUAUA